GGUGGUUCAGUGGUAGAGCACUUGCCUUGCAAGCAUGAGGCCCUGGGUUCAAUUCCUCAGCACCA
rnacentral:tRNA from 1 species